CUGAGAAACUGUUGGUGUCCUCUUAUCGCUGCCGGGGCCGGUCCGUGAGUCAUUUGGUACCUAGCCGCGAGAGUUGAGACUCAGGGAAUACAUAUGACCUACCAACAUUAAAAAUAACCACAGCGUGAAUGAAGAGGAGACAGGAAGUAAAGAAGAUAGACAUUUGUCUUUGACAAGUACAACAGAGUUCGCAAGUUGCAGUUGUGACAAGAUGAGAAGGAAAACCAGAACAAAAGGCGAUGAUUGAUCACAAAUUAUUCAACAUUUCUCUAUUUUUGUUGCUUCUUUAUUCAGGAGCACUUAGUGAAGAUCUUCCGCUUGCCUUCACUGUCAGAGAUGGAGAUAAAGUCACUUUGCCUUGUAAAAAUCGGUUCAACAUUCAUCACAACUGUGACACUAUCACCUGGAUCUUCAGAGAUUCAAGAGGCACACCAGCAGUAGAGCUGGUUAAUCUUGGACAAAUCAAAGAAGAAGCCAAAUCAGACAGACUGAGUGUUACAGCAGAAUGCUCACUGGUUAUAAAGAAGGUCACAGCUGAGGAUGUUGGUCGUUACACCUGCAGACAGUUUAGAGGCAAUCCAGGGAGACAGCAAGGUCCAGAUGCUGUGGUUUAUCUGUCUGUUGUCGUCAUGACCGAAAAGAAGAACGCUGAUGAGGUGACUUUAAGCUGCUCUGUGUUGACAUUUGAUCAGUGUAGACACAAAGUGAAGUGGAUCCAUAACAGAAGAGAUCUGGAUAGAGAUUACUCAAAUUUAAAAACAUCACAGUCUUCCUGCUCUGCUACUGUGACAUUUCUGAACCUUACAUAUGGUCACAUAUCAAGUUCUGACUUUAAGUGUAGCUUAAAAAGAACAGAAAAUAACAAAGAGCAGCUUUUUACCUUCAGCCAUCAUUCAUCAGGUGAAGAAACAAAUACAGCAACAACAGUUAAAUUAGACACAGUGACUACAAUAAAAGUGCUGGAAAUGGAUGGUUCAACAAACUUACCAGAAAUAUAUGCAGCAGCAACAAUUAAAUUGGAAAUAAUGACUGAAUCUGGCAUUAAAGGAGGUCUGACAACAAAACAGCUGGAAAUCAUGAAUGGUUUGAGAAAAUUACCAGACUGGUCCUGGUACAGGCUUGCCAUUGUGGCCCUGGGUUUAGUAGCACUUAUAGCAGCUGUUGUUGUCGUCAGCAUCUGGAUAAGAGCUGGGAAAAAAGCACAGAUGGAUGAAAACAUGGAACAGAAUUUAAACUCUGCAGUAACUUCGUCUGCUCCAGGAACCAUUCAGGAAUCUGCUGAUCUUCAAGAUGUUGUUCUCUACACCUCCCUCAGCUACACUGAGACCACCUACAGCUGUCCAGGUCUUCAGGUUCCCUAUAAAGAAGAUGAAGAAGGUGAAGCUUUGACCUACAUUAUAUGUUCAGUCUCUUCUCCUGGACCUGCUCCCAGCAACCUCUAUGCUAGCAUCAACAAACCAAAAGACUAAAAAACAGGAAAAAACACAGAAUCUCUUUUUCUUUGAUAACUUCUUUCUUUCUUUCCAUUCUUGUGUAAUGAAAGAGGGUUUCUGUUUUGUUAAAGUUCCCAGGAUUUAACAACAGUGAUAAUAUAAUCUGUAUUUUAAUUUUUAAUUUCUAACCCAGAAUGUUGCACUAUAUUUUUUCAUAGAUUGUUUAUUGCUUUAUCAGUGUACAUAUAUGUGUUUGUAUAUCUGCAGUUUAGGCCUGAUGAUUUUAUGAUAUUAAAAAGUGUUUUUCCAUUAUGUAAAAUCCCAAGCAGCCAAUAAAGGCUCCAGCACGUGAGUUUUAUUGUCAUGGUACUGGGUCUCUGACCCAGUGUUUUUGUUGGUUUUAGUUAUGUUCUUUGUUUAUUGUAUUUCAUGUAUAGGUUUCCUGUUACUUUGCCUUCCCUGUGUCCCGUGUCUAGUUACCCUUGUCUCCAUGUUCCUUCUGCCUCCCCAGUGAGUUGUGUCUUUUGUCACUCCUGUCUCUCUGCUCCGUGUUCAGUUUGUUCAGUGUCAAGUCAGCGUCUUUGUGUUAUAUUUCCUGUUACUGUGACGUUCCCUUGUCUCAUGUCAGUGUUUGUAGUUUUGCUUUGGUCUUUUCAUGUUUGAUUACUCCCACCUGCACCUUGCUCUUGUGUCUCAUUCCCUCGUUAUCCCUCAGUGUAUUUAAGCCCUGUGUUUUCCUUGUUCUGUGUUGUGUUGUACGGUGUGUGUUUACCUGUGUGCACCUCUCUGUGUGCUUAGUAGGGAUGGGUAUCGUUUAGGUUUUAUCCGAUACCGGUGCCAAAUCGGUACUUUUGAAACGGUGCCGGUGCUUAAACGGUGCUCGAACCGGUGCUUAAAGAAUGGAGAACACAAAAUUGGUCCAAAAACCUCUCAUGUUCAG
ensembl:lncRNA